rnacentral:rRNA from 1 species
UACGUAGGGCGCAAGCGUUGUCCGGAAUUAUUGGGCGUAAAGAGCUCGUAGGCGGUUUGUCGCGUCUGCCGUGAAAGCCCGGGGCUUAACUCCGGGUCUGCGGUGGAUACGGGCAGACUAGAGGCAGGUAGGGGAGAACGGAAUUCCCGGUGUAGCGGUGAAAUGCGCAGAUAUCAGGAGGAACACCGAUGGCGAAGGCAGGUCUCUGGGCCACUACUGACGCUGAGAAGCGAAAGCAUGGGGAGCGAACAGG